CAAUAGCGUAUAUUAAAGUUGUUGCGGUAAAAAAGCUCGUAGUUGGAUUUCUACCGAAGAUAGCCGGUCGGGUCUUCGACCUUGUAUCUGGUUUUGUCUUUGGUAUCCUCAUAGGGAACGUUUCUGCGCUUUAUUGCGUGGUGCGGUAUCUAUGACUUUUACUUUGAGGAAAUUAGAGUGUUCACGGCAGGCAAACGCCUUGAAUAUAUUAGCAUGGAAUAAUAACAUAGGAUAUUCGUCCUAUUUUGUUGGUUUCUAGGGCUAAGAUAAUGAUUAAUAGGGAUAAUUGGGGGCAUCUGUAUCAACGCGUCAGAGGUGGAAUUCUUGGAUUGCGUUGCGACAAACUACUGCGAAAGCAUUUGCCAAGGAUGUUUUCAUUGA
rnacentral:rRNA from 1 species